ACAGGUCUCACCCAGCUCGCAGGCAGCCCAAAAGUUCUGGAAGUACUCACUGCAGAGACAAAUGGAAAUGAGUCCACUCUAGGAAGAAGAAUAACUGGAAGCUUGAGCUGUGUAAAUGUGACUUGGAAAUGUGACUUCAGGAGAAAGAACCAGGUAGAAAACCCUGAUGGUGAAAGCAAGUUUUAACUGAAAUGAGAAGAAACUGAAAGUUACAUUACCAUGGCUUUUAUGAGUCAAAGAAGAGACAUUAUGGGUAUGUGAACUAAAAUAAUGACAUUUGGCAUGGGGAAAGUGAUAGAUACAGUAAUUUCAAUUUUCUGCAAGAUAGAGAACACACAGAGAAGUAGUGAUUGAUAUACAGUAUGAGAAUCCAUCCCCUAUGAUGUGUGCAAAGGAAAUUAAUAUGACUGGCUAGACCCUGGAAACGUUUAAUACUAUAAAUCACCGGUGUGAAAAAAAAGGUGGGUAUGAAAAUUGGAAUAAUUGGAUAAUAAAUACUAAACAAUGAAACUUUCCACUUCAGUGUACAGAAUGCCUGGCAGGCAAGGAUUUAUCCCGUUAGCCAAAUAAAAGAAAGAAAUCACAAAAAAACAACAACAAUGUGUUUAUCUUCAAACUGGUCUAUCAGUAUUAACAUGCAUUUUUGCCUUAGUAUAUGCCCACAUUCUGAAAUUUGAGAUGUUGCCACUUCUGGGAAAGUCAGCAGAAGACAGACAGCAGACAAAAUCUCUAAAAAUAAUAUUUUUAAUUAAAAAUGUACAUGCAGACGGGCAUGGUGGCUCGCACCUGUAAUCCCAGCACUUUGGGAGGCUGAGGCGGGCAGAUCACAAGGUCAGGAGUUCAAGACCAGCCUGGCCAAUAGGGUGAAACCCUGUCUCUACUAAAAAUACAAAAAUUAGCCGGGCAUGGUGGCAGGCGCCUGUAGUCCCAGCUACUCGGGAGGCUGAGGCAGGAGAAUAGCUUGAAUCUGGGAAGCAGAGGUUGCAGUGAGCCAAGAUCGUGCCAUUGCACUUCAGCCUGGGCAACAGAGCGAGACACCAUCUCAAAAAAAAAAAUGCAAAAAUACCAAACAUUAAAGAUAUUGGACACUAUAAAUAAAAAAGAUUAAACAAAAAAUGACUGCAGAUUCAAAAAUUACAAUCCAGGGAAAAGCACCAACUUAGAAGAGUUUAACAUCCAACUAAUAAGAACAUAGAGUGAGAAAACAGAGGGAAGAAAUUUUCAAAGAAAUAAUAGAAAACAAUAUUAUAGAUCUGAAGUUCCAUGUGAGUCUUUAGAUAAGUGCCAAGCAUGUGAGUUGUAAAUUGAAUAAUAAAAA
rnacentral:lncRNA from 1 species